rnacentral:rRNA from 1 species
GAUGAACGCUGGCGGCGUGCCUAAUACAUGCAAGUCGAGCGAACAGAUGAGGAGCUUGCUCCUCUGACGUUAGCGGCGGACGGGUGAGUAACACGUGGAUAACCUACCUAUAAGACUGGGAUAACUUCGGGAAACCGGAGCUAAUACCGGAUAAUAUAUUGAACCGCAUGGUUCAAUAGUGAAAGACGGUUUUGCUGUCACUUAUAGAUGGAUCCGCGCCGCAUUAGCUAGUUGGUAAGGUAACGGCUUACCAAGGCAACGAUGCGUAGCCGACCUGAGAGCGUGAUCGGCCACACUGGAACUGAGACACGGUCCAGACUCCUACGAGAGGCAGCAGUAGGGAAUCUUCCGCAAUGGGCGAAAGCCUGACGGAGCAACGCGGAGUGAGUGAUGAAGGUCUUCGGAUCGUAAAACUCUGUUAUUCGGGAAGAACAAAUGUGUAAGUAACUAUGCACGUCUUGACGGUACCUAAUCAAAAAGCCACGGCUAACUACGUG